GAUGAACGCUAGCUACAGGCUUAACACAUGCAAGUCGAGGGGCAUCAUUAUCGAAGCUUGCUUUGAUAGAUGGCGACCGGCGCACGGGUGAGUAACGCGUAUCCAACCUUCCCCUUAGUAGGGCACAGCCCGGCGAAAGUCGGAUUAAUUCCCUAUGUUGUUUGAUGCUGACAUCAAAAUCAAACCAAAGAUUCAUCGCUAAGGGAUGGGGAUGCGUCUGAUUAGAUAGUAGGCGGGGUAACGGCCCACCUAGUCAACGAUCAGUAGGGGUUCUGAGAGGAAGGUCCCCCACAUUGGAACUGAGACACGGUCCAAACUCC
rnacentral:rRNA from 1 species